AUUGAACGCUGGCGGAAUGCUUUACACAUGCAAGUCGAGCGGCAGCACGGGGGCAACCCUGGUGGCGAGCGGCGAACGGGUGAGUAAUACAUCGGAACAUGCCCAGUCGUGGGGGAUAACACUUCGAAAGAAGUGCUAAUACCGCAUACGUCCUGAGGGGGAAAGCGGGGGAUCGCAAGACCUCGCGCGAUUAGAGUGGCCGAUGUCAGAUUAGCUAGUUGGUGGGGUAAAGGCCUACCAAGGCAACGAUCUGUAGCUGGUCUGAGAGGAUGAUCAGCCACACUGGGACUGAGACACGGCCCAGACUCCUACGGGAGGCAGCAGUGGGGAAUUUUGGACAAUGGGGGCAACCCUGAUCCAGCCAUUCCGCGUGAGUGAAGAAGGCCUUCGGGUUGUAAAGCUCUUUCGGCAGGAACGAAACGGUGAGCUCUAACAUAGCUUGCUAAUGACGGUACCUGAAGAAGAAGCACCGGCUAACUACGUG
rnacentral:rRNA from 1 species